UUUUUUUCAAUUAAACUACACCGAAGGCUGUAGUAUUUCAUUCUCACUUAUUCAACUGUCUUUAUCCACUGCUGAAGAUUUGUGAAAUUGCAGGAGUCUGCAAUCUACAAGAAUAGGAGACAAAUGAGAAAGAGACAGCAUUAGAGUGAAAAAGAGAUGUAAAGUGAAAAAAGCAUUAAGCCAGUCUGUUGAGGGAGCAUUGAGUUUGUAAAGUGCUCGAAAAUGUGAGAAUACUUAAUCGGAAAUUGAAAUAGUUAGUGACAUCUCUGCCAAAUAUAAGCAGUGUUUUCAUAUUUU